rnacentral:rRNA from 1 species
AGAGUUUGAUCCUGGCUCAGAUUGAACGCUGGCGGCAGGCCUAACACAUGCAAGUCGAGCGGUAGCACAGAGAGCUUGCUCUCGGGUGACGAGCGGCGGACGGGUGAGUAAUGUCUGGGAAACUGCCUGAUGGAGGGGGAUAACUACUGGAAACGGUAGCUAAUACCGCAUAACGUCGCAAGACCAAAGUGGGGGACCUUCGGGCCUCAUGCCAUCAGAUGUGCCCAGAUGGGAUUAGCUAGUAGGUGGGGUAACGGCUCACCUAGGCGACGAUCCCUAGCUGGUCUGAGAGGAUGACCAGCCACACUGGAACUGAGACACGGUCCAGACUCCUACGGGAGGCAGCAGUGGGGAAUAUUGCACAAUGGGCGCAAGCCUGAUGCAGCCAUGCCGCGUGUGUGAAGAAGGCCUUCGGGUUGUAAAGCACUUUCAGCGGGGAGGAAGGCGGUGAGGUUAAUAACCUCACCGAUUGACGUUACCCGCAGAAGAAGCACCGGCUAACUCCGUGCCAGCAGCCGCGGUAAUACGGAGGGUGCAAGCGUUAAUCGGAAUUACUGGGCGUAAAGCGCACGCAGGCGGUCUGUCAAGUCGGAUGUGAAAUCCCCGGGCUCAACCUGGGAACUGCAUUCGAAACUGGCAGGCUAGAGUCUUGUAGAGGGGGGUAGAAUUCCAGGUGUAGCGGUGAAAUGCGUAGAGAUCUGGAGGAAUACCGGUGGCGAAGGCGGCCCCCUGGACAAAGACUGACGCUCAGGUGCGAAAGCGUGGGGAGCAAACAGGAUUAGAUACCCUGGUAGUCCACGCUGUAAACGAUGUCGAUUUGGAGGUUGUGCCCUUGAGGCGUGGCUUCCGGAGCUAACGCGUUAAAUCGACCGCCUGGGGAGUACGGCCGCAAGGUUAAAACUCAAAUGAAUUGACGGGGGCCCGCACAAGCGGUGGAGCAUGUGGUUUAAUUCGAUGCAACGCGAAGAACCUUACCUGGUCUUGACAUCCACAGAACUUUCCAGAGAUGGAUUGGUGCCUUCGGGAACUGUGAGACAGGUGCUGCAUGGCUGUCGUCAGCUCGUGUUGUGAAAUGUUGGGUUAAGUCCCGCAACGAGCGCAACCCUUAUCCUUUGUUGCCAGCGGUCCGGCCGGGAACUCAAAGGAGACUGCCAGUGAUAAACUGGAGGAAGGUGGGGAUGACGUCAAGUCAUCAUGGCCCUUACGACCAGGGCUACACACGUGCUACAAUGGCAUAUACAAAGAGAAGCGACCUCGCGAGAGCAAGCGGACCUCAUAAAGUAUGUCGUAGUCCGGAUUGGAGUCUGCAACUCGACUCCAUGAAGUCGGAAUCGCUAGUAAUCGUAGAUCAGAAUGCUACGGUGAAUACGUUCCCGGGCCUUGUACACACCGCCCGUCACACCAUGGGAGUGGGUUGCAAAAGAAGUAGGUAGCUUAACCUUCGGGAGGGCGCUUACCACUUUGUGAUUCAUGACUGGGGUGAAGUCGUAACAAGGUAACC